GCACUGCUGGUGCUGAGUCAGCUCUUCCCGCAGCCCCUGAGGUCUGGAGUGCUUCCCGUUGGGAGAUUUACUAGUUUUCUUGCUUGGCUACCCCGGCAUUAACAGGCAUUGGAACCGUGGGAAGCGAGUCUCCUGCCCAUCUCUGUUCAUCCCGGACAGUUGCAAUUGUGGAGGGACCCUCCAAUGACAUUGGACACUGGAGGCCCAGAGAAGGAAGUCCUCUGAAGAGAAUAAAAUAGUCCACUUAAAGCAACACCAGAAGUCUCUUGGGAUAUGUGAGGACAAUAGCUCCCUGUGUGUGCUGGAGACCUUGGACAAAGUCCCCAAGUCAUAUCCAUACCUACAAGGUGUCAGAAGAAAAGAUUACAACACAUCCCGUUUAAAGACAAGGAACCUGCAACAAAAAGUGUCAGACCCCACACUGUGAUCUCAACACUGCUGAGCUCUGCCUGGAAUCUUGGAACUCUCCAGCGAUCCCCUCUCCUUAAGAGUGGACGUGGGAUGCCUCCACGCAUUCAGUCAAAAUAAGGUUAUGGUGUGCCUGUUGUGUGCUAGGAAUUCUCUUCUCAUCAGAAAAAGAAUCUCUCUAUGUUUUGGGAAUAAGUGAAGAACAAAAUGAUGAUGUGUAAGAGGUUCUUGCCAAAUUGCUCGGCACAGAGAAGCCCUGGAGAAAGGGUGACAGUGUUGCUGGUGGGGGCUCUGCUGGCUGGUUUCCAGGACUCUUCCUCUGGGACAGCUUGUGCUUCCUGCCACCCUCCCCAGGGUCAUUUCUUAUCCUUCCCCAGUUGCAUUUUGAUAUUUCCUUUUAAGAUUUUACUGUUUUUCAAAAGAUCCAAAAGUAAUUAAAACUCUAGCCAUUGAAAUGGCAGUUCUAACAAGUCGUCUUAGAGUCAUUGUCACCUCAUGGGGCUGCUAGAAAGCUAUCCAUAUGAAAUCAUCUUAUCCACACUGGGAAAGUCUCUGACACACCCAUAAAGGCAUGUUCAUCCAGUAUGCACACUGAGUGUCCUCCAUAUUCCAAGGAUUGUGAGAAGCACAGACACGUUACAGAGAAUGAGAUGGAUACAAUAUUGCCUUAAACGAACUGGUGGCCAAGCCAAAUUCUAACUGCAGAGAAUGAUCAGGAAGGAGCGAUUUGAGGAAAUAACAUGUGAGCUAGACUUUUAAGGAGGAGAAAGAGCCAGCUGCAGAAAGCCAACUAGAAUGGUGUUUAAUGCAAAGAAAAUCAUAAACCAACCCCUAGCUGGAAAUGAUCCUAACCUGUGGAAGCUCCUGAAUUGAGUGAGGGACCGGCCGGCA